UGUGUUUUUAGUAGAGACAGGAUUUCACCAUGUUGGCCAGGCUGGUCUUGAACUCCUGACUUUGUCAUCCACCCGCCUUGGCCUCCCAAAGUGCUGGGAUUACAGGCGUGAGCCACCGCGCCCGGCCUGAACGGUACUUUUUAAUCUUAAGAGCCUGGAGUCCGUUUAACACUGUCACCUGGACAGUUAUUUGCGGUGAAUAGAGGUGGAGCAUCCAGGCCUCCCCGUGCCAUGGGAAGCACUGCCGCCAGCUCCGCACAGUCAAGUGAUGUUUGUGUCACCACCGACUAUACCCCCAGGAUCCCCAAGGAAGGGGCCACCCCUCGGCCAGUCACCAUGUCUGCGGUGCUCUUCUCAUGCUCAUGUCCCUGUGGGCCCGGGCAUCACCCCUGCUCUCCCCUCAGACCCAGGAGUCACCCCUGCACUCCCCACGGCUCCAACGUCACCCCUGCAUUUCCCGCAGGCCUGGGUGUCACCCCUGCACUCCCCACGGCCCCGACGUCACCCGUGCAUUCUCCGCAGGCCCAGGUGUCACCCCUGCUCUCCCCACAGGCCCGGGUGUCACCCCUGCACUCCCCACAGGCCCAGGCGUCACCCGUGCGUUCUCCGCAGGCCCCGAUGUCACCCCUGCUCUCCCCACAGGCCCAGGCGUCACCCCUGCACUCCCCAUGGCCCCAACGUCACCCGUGCGUUCUCCGCAGGCCCCGAUGUCACCCCUGCUCUCCCCGCAGGCCCGGGUGUCACCCCUGUGCUCCCCACGGCCCCAGUGUCACCCAUGUGCUCCCCAUGGCCCGGGUGUCACCCCUGCAUUCCCCACGGCCCUGAUGUCACCCCUGCUCUCCCCGCAGGCCCUGGGCUGCAUCUUGUACCUGCUGUGCUUCCGGCAGCACCCUUUUGAGGAUGGAGCGAAACUUCGAAUAGUCAAUGGGAAGUACUCAAUCCCCCCGCACGACACGCAGUACACGGUCUUCCACAGCCUCAUCCGCGCCAUGCUGCAGGUGAACCCGGAGGAGCGGCUGUCCAUCGCCGAGGUGGUGCACCAGCUGCAGGAGAUAGCGGCUGCCCGCAACGUGAACCCCAAGUCUCCCAUCACAGAGCUCCUGGAGCAGAAUGGAGGCUACGGGAACGCCGCGCUGUCCCGAGGGCCACCCCCUCCCGUGGGUCCCGCUGGCAGUGGCUACAGUGGAGGCCUGGCCCUGGCGGAGUACGACCAGCCCUACGGCGGCUUCCUGGACAUUCUGCGGGGUGGGACAGAGCGGCUCUUCACCAACCUCAAGGACACCUCCUCCAAGGUCAUACAGUCCGUCGCUAAGUGAGUGUGAGGCUCCAGAGCCCUGGACCUGCCGCACGCUCGUUCCAGGCUGCAGCCCCGACCCUUGCUUCCUGGCUGUGGUGGAACAGCUGGUCAUCAGGCCCCACAGGGACGCCUGAGGCAGUGGGACAGCAUCACUCGCUUCUCCCAGGGAGUCGGAAUGAGCCCAGCAUCCCGCAGAGCCGGGCAGAUCCCUUUCUUUUGACCGCCUGCGGGGCAAGGCCCUGCUGGGGAGACCCCUGGGCCCGCCCCUCCCUUGCUGCGAUGACGCCCCUCACUCUGGGGCGUUCCUGGGUUAUUCCAGGGACUCUUUGUGUAAAUUGGGUGAAACAUCUGUGGUGGCGCCUCACUGAGCCAGUCCUUGAGUUAAAGCCCUAGUUACUCAGACUUAGACCAGGUGAGUCCCAGCCUGUGGUGGGAGAAAGUCUCCCUCUGGGUAGGCUGUCCAAGGGCGAGUCUGUGCGGGGGUGGCCCCUGACAUCGGCCCACAGGCCCAGCAGCCUCCGCUCACAGAGCACUGGGAAUGUUGCAGAGUGCGGCACCUCUGCGUUGCGGGGUCCGUGCGCUGGCUCUUCUGGAGGAGCUGGACACCCAGGAGCAUGCUGGCUGCUCAUCUGGCCCUGCGGUCACACCAGCUCAAGGGCGUCGGCUGUGUCAGGAAACAGCCUAGAAGCUGGGCUGGACUGGCGCCCGUGAUGCAGGAACUACGGCCCCUGGUGGGCCCACGUUCCUUCCACAGCUGGCGACACCCUUCGGCUUUUUCCUGUGUUGUUUUGUGCUGUGAUCACUGUUUUGUGUCCCCAGCACCAGGUAGACGUGUGCACUUGUGCCUGCGUGUACCACAGCAUCUGCACAUGUCUGAGCUUGGGUGCAUGUGUCUUUGAGCAUGUGUGCAUGUGAGGGAAUGGGUGUGUUAUGCAUAUGUGUGAACAUGUGUGCAUGUGUGUGUAAAUGCUGGUGUGAGCAUGUGCAUAGGUGUGUGUGAUUGCUGGUGUGAGCAUGUGUGCUGGUGCUUGUGAGUCCUUGUGCUUGUGAAUCCUUGUAUGAGCUGAGUGCUCGUAUUGAGUGUAUGCCUACAGGCAUGUGUAUGAGCACAUGUCCAUGUUUGAGUAUGUAUGCAUGUGUGCAUGUGUACGCAUGUGUAGGAGUGCCUGUGAGUGUAUGUGAGCUGUGUGCAUGUGUACACAUGCGUGCGAGUGCCUGUGAGUGCACGUGAGCUGUGUGCAUGUGUACACGUGUGCGUGAGCUGUGUGCAUGUGUACACGUGUGAGUGCAUGUGAGCUGCGUGCAUGUGUACACGUGAGUGCGCAUGAACCACGUGCAUGUGCACACGUGUGAGUGCGUGUGAGCUGCAUGCAUGUGUACACGUGUGAGUGGGCUGCAUGCAUGUGUACACGUGUGUGAGUGCAUGUGAGCUGCGUGCAUGUGUACACGUGAGUGCACAUGAACCGCAUGCAUGUGCACACAUGUGAGUGCGUGAGCUGUGUGCAUGUGUACACACGUGUGUGAGCUGCGUGCAUGUGUACACGUGUGUGAGUGCAUGUGAACUGCUUGCAUGUAUAAGCAUGUGUAGGAGUGUUGUGUGAGUGCCUGUGUGUGUGAGCUGUGUGCCUGUGAGUGCGUGUGAGCCGCGUGCAUGUGUAAGCAUGUGUAGGAGUGCUGUGUGAGUGCCUGUGUAUGCGAGCUGUGUGCCUCUGUGUGUGCUGCACGUUUGGCUGUGUGGUUCCAUUACCUGUGCGCCUUGUCCCUGUGCAACAUUUUAUGGAGAGAAACCUGUUCUUAGUGGGCCUGCAUAUCCCCAGAACAGGGCGUGAGCCCACUCACACCUCUGGGCACCUCCUCUGUGACGCCUCCUGCCUGAGUUGUGGCUGACAGAAGAUCAGAGGCAGCUCCGUCUGUCUGGUGCCAGUGCACCGCCCACUGGGCCACGGGCUGUGGCUCCUGCAGGGUCCUGACAGGUGGCACUGCGUGUGGAGCGUCAGCAGGGCUAGCCAUGGACCCAGCGGGGCGAGAGACUCUCCAGCGUCAUCUUGGUGAGAGUGAUGUUGGGAUCAGAGUGGAAACAAGACAGAGAGGAUGCAGCAGCAAAGCCAUAAGUGAAAGUCACUAGAACAGUCACUUUCGGCGUCAGUGAAAAUGGUCUCCAUGGCCGCAGCACAUUGUGGGGACAGGCAGAGUGGAGUCAGCAGAGGGAGGAGGCGUGUGGGGCGUCCAGGGAGCCGGGCACAGCUCCACGGUCCUCCCUGGGGGACUCCAGGCCACGCUCCCUCCCCAGCAGCUGUGGGGAUGGUGGGAGCUGCUGUCUGCCGGAAGCCUAAGGCCGCAGGGGCUGGUCCUAGAAAUGGCUCUGCUGGGACCCAUGGGUUCCAGGCCCUAGGAGGACGCAGUUUGGCUUGAGCAGGCGCUGCUUACACGGCACUCAGGCACAGCCAGCUGCUGCUUGUUAGGGGAUGGUGGGAACCCUCCUGACACCCCCAGGUGCCAGCUGAGGGCAGCCCUGCUGUUCUGAUCUGCCUUCUGUUCACAUCACGUGCUUGAGGCAGAUGAAGCCACAUAAACUUGUGUUUUUAAAGUUGGCUUAGAAGCCACAGUGAGUUCUGGCUGGGCCUGGAGGCUCAAAAGAUGGCUGGGCAUGGUGGCUCGUGUAAUCCCAGCACUUUGGGAGGCCGAGGAGGGAGGAUCACUUGAAGAUUGAGACAAGCCUGGACAACACAACAACACAGCAGGACCCUGUCUCUACAAAAAUAAAAAAUUAGCUGGGUGAGGUGGCGUGCACCUGUGGUCCCAGCUACACUGGGGGCUGAGGUGGGAGGAUCACUUGAGCCCAGGAGGUUGAGGCUGCAGUGAGUUGUGAUUGUGCCACUGCACUCUGGCCUGGAGUGAGCAAGACCCUGCCUCGAUUA
rnacentral:sRNA from 1 species